AAUACCCAAUCCUGACACAGGGAGGUAGUGACAAGAAAUAACAAUACAGGGCAAUUGUCUUGUAAUUGGAAUGAUGGUGACGUAAAAUCUCACCAGAGUAACAAUUGGAGGGCAAGUCUGGUGCCAGCAGCCGCGGUAAUUCCAGCUCCAAUAGCGUAUAUUAAACUUGUUGCAGUUAAAAAGCUCGUAGUUGAAUUUCUGCGUUGCCCGACUCGGCUACUUGCCUUGUCUGGUUUCGCUUUUGGGGUUUUCCCCUUUUUACUUUGAGAAAAUUAGAGUGUUUCAAGCAGACUUGUGUCUUGAAUACUUCAGCAUGGAAUAAUAAAGUAGGACUUUGGUUCUAUUUUGUUGGUUUGUGAACCUUAGUAAUGGUUAAUAGGAACGGUUGGGGGCAUUCGUAUUUAA
rnacentral:rRNA from 1 species